UACAUGUGGGGCAAGCGUUGUUCGGAAUUACUGGGCAUAAAGGGUGCGUAGGCGGCUUGUUAAGUCAGGGGUGAAGUCCCACGGCCCAACCGUGGAACUGCCUUUGAUACUGGCGAGCUUGAGUGCGUGAGGGGUAACCGGAACGAGUAGUGUAGCGGUGAAAUGCGUAGAUAUUACUCGGAAGGCCAAAGGCGAAGGCAGGUUACUGGUACGCAACUGACGCUGAUGCACGAAAGCGUGGGGAGCAAACAGG
rnacentral:rRNA from 1 species